rnacentral:rRNA from 1 species
CAUGAGUGGCGGACGGGUGAGUAACGCGUGGGCAACCUGGCCUGUACAGGGGGAUAACACUUAGAAAUAGGUGCUAAUACCGCAUAACGGGGGAAGCCGCAUGGCUUUUCCCUGAAAACUCCGGUGGUACAGGAUGGGCCCGCGUCUGAUUAGCCAGUUGGCAGGGUAACGGCCUACCAAAGCGACGAUCAGUAGCGGCCUGAGAGGGCGGACGGCCACACUGGGACUGAGACACGGCCCAGACUCCUACGGAAGGCAGCAG